rnacentral:tRNA from 1 species
GCUGCUUUAGUUCAGUUGGUAGAACGGUGGAUUUGUAACCCAUUGGCGAUCGGUUCGAGACCGGUAGGCAGCU